AAGUCGUAACAAGGUUUCCGUAGGUGAACCUGCGGAAGGAUCAUUAUCACGUAUCCAAACGUAUAAACCCAAUGUGCACCUAAAACUAUCCUCCUUUUAGGAUUUCAUGAAGUGGCGGAGAAGUUGAUAUUCUGAUUCAUGGUCUUUCAGAAUUCUCCGUCGUGACUUUCACUUUACGGUGGAAGUCAGCCUUCUAAUCCGGGAGUCGUAUCAAACCAUGCUUGUUUUACUAUAACAACUUGUACCUUGCUGAACUAACUUUGGUUUUAAAACUAUUGCUUUCUUUCGAGAAACAACAGUUUCUGACCUUGAUUUAUAUAAACUCUGAACUACUCUUAACAACGGAUAUCUUGGUUCUC
rnacentral:misc_RNA from 1 species